CGCGCAGGCGGUAGGAGAAGUCAGGCGUGAAAGCCCCGGGCUCAACCUGGGAAUUGCGCUUGAUACUCUCCAACUGGAGUUCGGGAGAGGAGAGUGGAAUUCCCAGUGUAGAGGUGAAAUUCGUAGAUAUUGGGAAGAACACCGGUGGCGAAGGCGGCUCUCUGGACCGAGACUGACGCUGAGGCGCGAAAGCGUGGGGAGCAAACAGGAUUAGAUACCCUGGUAGUCCACGCUGUAAACGAUGUGUGCUAGACGUUGGGGAGCCUAGCUUCUCGGUGUCGCAGCUAACGCAUUAAGCACACCGCCUGGGGAGUACGGCCGCAAGGUUAAA
rnacentral:rRNA from 1 species